GGAGCUUGCUCUUCUUGGAUGAGUUGCGAACGGGUGAGUAACGCGUAGGUAACCUGCCUUGUAGCGGGGGAUAACUAUUGGAAACGAUAGCUAAUACCGCAUAACAAUGGGUGACUCAUGUCAUUUAUUUGAAAGGAGCAAAUGCUCCACUACAAGAUGGACCUGCGUUGUAUUAGCUAGUAGGUGAGGUAACGGCUCACCUAGGCGACGAUACAUAACCGACCUGAGAGGGUGAUCAGCCACACUGGGACUGAGACACGGCCCAGACUCCUACGGGAGGCAGCAGUAGGGAAUCUUCGGCAAUGGGGGCAACCCUGACCGAUCAACGCCGCGUGAGUGAAGAAGGUUUUCGGAUCGUACAACUCUGUUGUAAGUCAAGAACGAGUGUGAGAGUGGAAAGUUCACACUGUGACGGUAGCUUACCAGAAAGGGACGGCUAACUACGUGCCAGCAGCCGCGGUAAUACGUAGGUCCCGAGCGUUGUCCGGAUUUAUUGGGCGUAAAGCGAGCGCAGGCGGUUUGAUAAGUCUGAAGUUAAAGGCUGUGGCUCAACCAUAGUUCGCUUUGGAAACUGUCAAACUUGAGUGCAGAAGGGGAGAGUGGAAUUCCAUGUGUAGCGGUGAAAUGUGUAGAUAUAUGGAGGAACACCGGUGGCGAAAGCGGCUCUCUGGUCUGUAACUGACGCUGAGGCUCGAAAGCG
rnacentral:rRNA from 1 species